AGUCUUAAGUUAUGCACAAAGCGAACUAUUCUUUCGCCUUUUACUAAAGAAUACCGUGUGCAUGUCUCGCCAAACGACAUACGCCCAUUUUUGGAAAGAGAGAGUGAGGGAAUGAAACUU